GAUGAACGCUGGCUGUGUGCCUAAUACAUGCAUGUCGAACGAAGCACUUGUGCUUAGUGGCAAAUGGGUGAGUAACACGUACUUAAUCUACCUUUGAGAUUGGAAUAACAUUUGGAAACAACUGCUAAUACCAAAUAUGUAAUCAUUUCGCAUGAAUUGAUUAUAAAAGAAGCGUUUGCUUCGCUUAAAGAUGAGAGUGCGUUACAUUAGAUAGUUGGUAAGGUAAUGGCUUACCAAGUCAAUGAUGUAUAGCGGGGUCGAGAGGCUGAACCGCCACACUGGGACUGAGAUACGGCCCAGACUCCUACGGGAGGCAGCAGUAGGGAAUAUUCCACAAUGAACGAAAGUUUGAUGGAGCGACACAGUGUGCAGGAUGACGGUCUUAGGAUUGUAAACUGCUG
rnacentral:rRNA from 1 species